rnacentral:rRNA from 1 species
UACGUAGGGUGCAAGCGUUACUCGGAAUUACUGGGCGUAAAGCGUGCGUAGGCGGUUUGUUAAGUCUGAUGUGAAAGCCCUGGGCUCAACCUGGGAACUGCAUUGGAUACUGGCUUACUAGAGUGCGGUAGAGGGGUGUGGAAUUCCCGGUGUAGCAGUGAAAUGCGUAGAUAUCGGGAGGAACAUCUGUGGCGAAGGCGACACCCUGGACCAGCACUGACACUGAGGCACGAAAGCGUGGGGAGCAAACAGG